UCUAAUACAAUUUCCAAAUGCAAACACGUCGUUAAUAUUAGACAUACCGAUAUUUAAUAAUUAAUAUAAAUCUUAUAAAGCAUUCGAUAUUAUGUAGCAUAUAUAAAAUAAUCUAUAAAAAAAAAUUGGAACAAACUACAAGUCCCAUGAUGCAGCGGCGCUGCUCUGAGCGCGUGUGCGCGCCUGUGGAAUGAAGGGCGCACUUGUUGAGUUUGGGAACUUCCAGAGCUUGAACUUCUCACUUCGGACGCUGCGGAGUUCUCUCAUCAUCAUCAGCAGCAGCAGCAGAUUCAGGCGACUUGGAAUGAUGCUGACUUUUUACGUCUGGGACUGUUUUGGUUUGUUGGAUUGGAUGUGGAUUGUCUUUAGUGUUUAACGCGUUAGACGCGCUCCGUUACAGAGCGUGCGAGUAAUAAAUAACAUUACUAUGAGGAUGUAGACGCGCCUUUAAUGCACUCGCGCCACUUUAAUCGAUUCCUGUCUGAAGGAGAGUUAGUGUUCGAUGGGGCUAUUGGGAUAUGGGACUAUUUAUGGAUCACUGGACUUCAAACGCUCUCUAAAGGGACUCUCGCUGGAGCAGUGGAUAGAGAACAUCGCUGCUUUGCCGAGAUGCAUCAUCAGCCCAAAUCUGAUGGGACGCUACAGGAUGCUGUCAUCUGUUCAGAUGGAGUGACAUUUGUCUGGUAAAAAAUCACAUUCGUGCAUCAAAUAAUCUCUCUGACAUAAACACAUACACCGGGUCUCACAGAAUGCUCUGGAUGGCAUUAUUGAGGAUCUGUACAGUAAAUAAAGCUGUAUAGAUUUACAGAGCCUGGAUUUAUCACUCAAGCGCUCUCAAUCUUUCUCAGCACAGGAGAGCAGAUGAUCCAGGACUAUAAAGUCCAUCCAACCAUGAACCCAAGGGAAAGAAUGCAGCAUCUUCUGAGCUGUAUGACAUUUACAGCCCUGAUCUCUACACCGCUCCACCAACCUGUGCACUUUAUUUCUACCUUAAUUUCUACAAGGAUUUACUGGAUGAGGAGAACAUUUUGUUCUGUACUGGUCUGGAUCACUGUACUGGUUACUGAAUACUAAACAAAUAUAAAUUCCAAGUGAGUUGCAUAGAAAUUGCAUUUUCAUUCAUCCCAUCUAUGUUUACCAUCAAUUUUACCAUCAAUUUCGUGUUCUUUUUCAGUCUGAAAUGCAUCACUUUACUGAAAUAAAGUCGACAGCAACUUCCGGUUCAUUCA